GGCAGGUUCACAAGUACGGAUUCUGAGAAGGAGAAUGGACUGUUGGGCGCAUUGUAAUCCCAGGAGACAGAGGCAGGAGGAUUGCAGAAGAAUGUGCCAUGUGCACUUGAGGGGAUGAACCGGGUUUUCAUUGUUGAGAAUUCCAACAAAAGGACAUCCAGAACUGUCCUGGGAGGCUUGUCAGUCAGUUGAGCGUGAUGUUUGUACGCAGUUCUGUAAUGCAGUACGGCAAUCCUAUACAUGUAUGAGACGUGUGGGGUCCAGUCGGGGAGAGGCACUUUCUCUCCUCAGACACCUCCCACUUGUUGGGAGGUGGUGUGUGACACUCUUCUGGAGCUGCAGCCACCCCACUGUGCUACAGAACACUGGGGCCUGGCCUCCCUCUCCAGCGCCUGUUACCCAUCUUUCUCCCUCCUGCCCACUAGGCUCCUCUUCCACCCUCUGCCUCCAUGGAAGCAAUGUUUGUGGCAUCCAUAUCAGGGGGGACCAGCAGUGUUUGUCUCACUUAACAUACUGUGAUUCUUUUUGUGAUGGAUAAUUUGUGAACAUAAACGUUGGCAAGUUGGAAGUGGCACUGAAACAGGUCCUGUUUGCUCUAUCACUGUUGCUCUUUCCUGACGAGAAGCACACGCAUUCCUGGGCACCUCCACCAGGUGGAAGCUACCCUCCUAUCCAGCCCCAAGUUCCUCGGGAUCAGGC
rnacentral:lncRNA from 1 species